rnacentral:rRNA from 1 species
UACGGGGGGGGGCAAGCGUUGUUCGGAUUUACUGGGCGUAAAGGGCGCGUAGGCGGUCAGUGCAAGUCAGUUGUGAAAUCUCCGGGCUUAACUCGGAAAGGUCAACUGAUACUGCUCGACUAGAGUGCGGAAGGGGCAACUGGAAUUCUUGGUGUAGCGGUGAAAUGCGUAGAUAUCAAGAGGAACACCUGCGGCGAAGGCGGGUUGCUGGGCCGACACUGACGCUGAAGCGCGAAAGCUAGGGGGAGCGAACGGG